GAACAUCUUACGGAUGGCCCAGGGCUCCAAAGGCUCGUUUCCUAAGUGAGAGAGAGCCUGGCUGAAGCUGUAUUACCAUUCAUUCUCCAGCCUCCGAAGUCUCAAAGCAUCACUUCCACCAUACUCUAACUGUCAAGACAAACACAAAGGCCCAGACAUUACAUGUAAAUGGAAUCAUACAAUAUGUGAUCUUUUGUGACUGGCUUCUUUCACUUAGCAUAACGUUUUCAAGGUUUGUUCGUGUUGUAGCAGAAACUGCCAGACUGUCUUCUGAAGUGGCUAUAAUAUUUACACUCCCAUCAGCAGUGUAGAAGGGGUCUCACUAUGUUGUCUGGAGUGCUGUGGUGGAGUGGAGUGGCUAUUCACAGAGCCUGUUCUGCUGGGACACAGAAUCACUUGCUCCAUCUCAUACAUUGAUGAUGAUUAAUUUGUAUGUGUACCUUCCAAAAAAGAUGGUUGUGUUUGAAUGGAGGCCUUCUGGACAGGAAAAUUGCAAAGUACAAUUAACAUUUGAGUCUGUCUGAGUCAUGAAGAAAUGGAGAUUACUGAAAAUAAUUCAUUUUGGUAUCUUCUUACAUCCUGAGAGACUAAUCUUUCCAAGUUCAUCUGAGGCUCCUCUUCUCCAUGACAACCUCAUCCAGGGAUUUCUUCCUGUCCUGGUGUUUUAUGACAUCAUCCUCAUCUCGCUUGUAAGGAUAAUAGCCUUCCUCCAAACCUCACACACUUUUGGAGGAGAUCACUUUUUUUAAAGUGCAUGGAAAUGUUUUGAAACAGUGAAAUCUAUAAUGAUAGGUUUCAUAAUUCUAACAUCCACACCAUAUGAAUCACAUCCUUCCUGAGAUAAUGAGCACACAAUUGCCUGGAUACCUGAAGGAAUGGAGACAGCGGCAGAAAACACUGCAGAGAGGUGGAAACAUCCGUUAAUAUUUUAAAAUCCCAUUACUGCUACCAACAAUAAUAAUGGAUGCAUAGAAAUAGAUCUGGAUUAGCUGAGCUUGAAACAGUCCAUCUCACACACACACAAAAGAAUUUCAGAUACAGUGAACCCACAUGUUGAAGCUUUCUAGUAUAAUAAAAAUUUCAACUGUUCUGUUGAAUCAUCUGCCUGAUUGGAGGCUACAGAAAAGAUGUCAUCUUAGGAGUGCUUGCUCUGAGUGAGGCUCAUCUUCAAAUCUGAAUGACCACAAGGAGAUUUGAUUAUACAUGUGAACACCUCAGAAGGCACAGCCCACCCAGAAGGCAGACAGGUCAGGCUGCUUUUUCUUCAUUGCUUGGAUUCAAUCCUCCGGGCGGCUCAGGCUCAAACAUAACUUAAGCAUGAUUAAACUUUAGAAGAAGCUGCCAGGAAGACUGUGAAAUCUUCAUGCCCAAGGAUCCCUAAAAUUAGGAGCAACAACCACUUGGCUCAGACGGUUUAUGGAGGCAAAGGUUUGGAUGGGAUUAGAGAUUUCUAAAUGUGAGUUCGUGUCCUCUGCCAGACCACCUUACUUCCACCAUUCCUCAGCAAAUCAAGAAAAACAGGAGAAAAGACAUGCCUUUCCAUAAGUUAAAUCUAUUCUGUUUUAAUUCUAUAUUAUAUCUGCUGUACAACUUCUUUUGUUUGUAACACCAUAUUGUUGCUAGUAACUGGAAAUUAAUUUUCACAUGCCUCAGCUUAGAAAAAUAAAAAGCAGCCCUGCAUCAAUCCC
ensembl:lncRNA LINC00635 long intergenic non-protein coding RNA 635